GAUGAAGAACGUAGCGAAAUGCGAUAAGUAAUGUGAAUUGCAGAAUUCAGUGAAUCAUCGAAUCUUUGAACGCGCAUUGCGCCCUCUGGUAUUCCGGGGGGCAUGCCUGUCCGAGCGUCAUUGCUGCCCUCAAGCACGGCUUGUGUGUUGGGCCUCCGUCCUCCUCCCGGGGGACGGGCCCGAAAGGCAGCGGCGGCACCGCGUCCGGUCCUCGAGCGUAUGGGGCUUCGUCACCCGCUCUUGUAGGCCCGGCCGGCGCUUGCCGACACAUCAAUCUUUUUUCCAGGUUGACCUCGGAUCAGGUAGGGAUACCCGCUGAACUUAAGCAUAUCAAUAAGCGGAGGA
rnacentral:misc_RNA from 1 species